UACAGCCAUAUCACAUUGAAACAUUAGUUCUCCUAUGAGCACCAAAGUUAAGCAAUAUCGAGCCUGAUCAGUACCUAGAUGGGUGCCCACUUGGGAAUACCAGGUACUGCAA